rnacentral:rRNA from 1 species
CCUACGGGAGGCAGCAGUGGGGGAUAUUGCACAAUGGAGGAAACUCUGAUGCAGCGACGCCGCGUGAGGGAAGACGGUCUUCGGAUUGUAAACCUCUGUCUUUGGGGAAGAAAAUGACGGUACCCAUAGAGGAAGCUCCGGCUAACUACGUACCAGCAGCCGCGGUAAUACGUGGGGAGCGAGCGUUGUCCGGAAUUACUGGGUGUAAAGGGGCGUAGGCGGGGUAGAAAGGUGAAUGUUAAAUCUACCGGCUAAACUGGUAUCUGCGUUCGAGACUGCUUGUCUUGAGUGAAGUAGAGGCAGGCGGAAUUCCGAGUGUAGCGGUGAAAUGCGUAGAUAUUAGGAGGAACACCAGUGGCGAAGGCGGCCUGCUGGGCUUUAACUGACGCUGAGGCUCGAAAGCGUGGGGAGCAAACAGGAUUAGAUACCCCUGUAGUC